AGUGGCACCUGUAUUUCUUUUACAAUUUUAUUCAUUCAUUAAGCAAGUUGCAGAUGCACUUUUUAUUUGAUUCUAUCUUUCUCUUUUUAUUUUUUCAGAGCACCAUGUCUUCAGACUUGCAGCCUCUGUACUCUUUGCUGGAAGAGGUGCAAAGACGGAAGAAUGCCAUUCUUUGUAGCCGUCCAAUCCGCACAGAUCCUGCUGACUUCCACAGAUAUCUGGACCAUCUAACUGCACAUGGUUCUGAGCUGGGAGAUCCUGCACGACUUGUUGACCAAUGCAUCAGACAGGCUGAAACUGGUGUGCAGGAACUGGUGCAGAGCCUGUUUGAGGAAGAACAGCAGCACUGGUACCGAGCGGAGCGGCUGCUGAGUCACCGGGCCGAACGGCCUCUGUCUCCGGCCGCCUCUGCUCCCACUUCAGCCCCUGCCCGCGCCCCUGUCCGCGCCCCGGCCACCACGCCCGCCGUCCCGGCCGCUUCCCGUGCUGGCCGGGCGCGUCCACCGCAACUGGCCACCGAGCGUCGCGCCCAGCAGCGCAGAGAGCGGCAGCGGCCGC
rnacentral:lncRNA from 1 species